AAAGAGAUAUACAGAAGGGCUGCGGAAGGGGAAAAACACACAAAAGGGUUGGGGGAGGAACAGGUGCACAAAGGGGCUGGGGGGGCAAAGAGGCACACAGAAGGCUUCAGGAUAAACAAACACAUAAAAGGGUUUUGGUGGGGAAAAGCUAUACCAAGGGGAAGUGGAAAAAGGCACACAAAGGGGUUGGGGCAGAAAAAAAAAGCCUGCUGGGAAAAAAAAGAGGCCUAACAGCAGCAGCCAGUCGGCCAGCCACAGUAGCUAGCCUGCCUGUUAACCAGCCACAGCAGCCUGCCAGCCGGCCACAGCAACUAGCAAGCCUGCUAGCCGGCCACAGCAUCCAGCCUGCUAGCCCGCUACAGCAGCCAACCUGCUCCUGGAGCAACCUGCCAGUCACAGCAGCCAGCAGCAGUAAUUAAGGUGCGAAGAGCCAACUAGGGAUGGAUAUCAGAGAGCUAUGUUAUAUUACUAUAUUGUGAAUUGGGGCCAGAGUGUUUCUUUUUCUAACAUACAGUUUACAAAUGUGUGCAUUGAAUAUUCUUGAAAACAUUUUUAAAAAGUGUGGGUGUAUUUUACAUUUUAAAGUUGGGGGUGGGGGUGCCAUAUACAGGCCCAGAGUGCCAAAUGCUUUAGGUACAUCCCUGUCCAAAAUUCUUCUAUAUGCAGAAGCUUUGGGUGGGGCACUGCACCUGCGAAGAAAUCUUAUCUCCUUUUAUAAAUGCGUUAGAAUAAUGUAUCUCUUUAGGGAGUGCACAUCUGCCCUGCAAACAAUAGAACACUGUUAGAAGGAAGCAGUAUAAUUGCUCAGAAAUGUAAACAGGCUGUUUGAACCAAAACCGUUCCAUAGUUCCAUAGUUACAUAGCUGAAAAGAGACUUGCGUCCAUCAAGUUCAGCCUUCCUCACAUAUGUUUUUGCUGUUGAUCCAAAAGAUGGCAAAAAACCCAGUCUGAAGCGCUUCCAAUUUUGCUACAUUAUGCUAUAGUUGUUCUGUUGACUAGAGUGCCCAUCUAAUAGUCAUCAAUGUAUAAGAUGCUCUUUUCAUUACUUUUUUGAUACUAUAGUAUAUAAUAAAAAAAAAAAGUGUAAAAUAGUAAAAGGAAAAAAUACAUGUUAGUUAUCUGGCAAACAUAAUAUUCAGUGAACCAUUUAAACAUUAUUAAAACAGCCAGGUAUAAAUAUAUGACAGACAACUCCCUCAAAACAAGACCAAAAAGACAUACGGGAUCAGCAUAGAACAACCACUAUAAAG